rnacentral:tRNA from 1 species
UCCCCGGUGGCUCAGUGGUAAAGAAUCUGCCUGCCAAUGCAGGAGACACAGGUUUGAUUCCUGAUCCGGGAA